CCGGCGACCGGCGCACGGGUGAGUAACACGUAUCCAACCUGCCCUUUACUCGGGGAUAGCCUUUCGAAAGAAAGAUUAAUACCCGAUAGCAUAAUGAUUCCGCAUGGUUUCAUUAUUAAAGGAUCGGUAAAGGAUGGGGAUGCGUUCCAUUAGGUUGUUGGUGAGGUAACGGCUCACCAAGCCUUCGAUGGAUAGGGGUUCUGAGAGGAAGGUCCCCCACAUUGGAACUGAGACACGGUCCAAACUCCUACGGGAGGCAGCAUG
rnacentral:rRNA from 1 species